UUCAAAUUUCAGAAUAAGCUGACUGCCAAGAGGGCCCUCCCCCUGUCGGGAGCCCCUUAGUCCAUGGGAAAUUCACAGAGAAGGAAACGGUCACUUUUCCUGCACCUGAGAAGGUGAUUCUGACUCUCCUGGAACCUGAGAACCACCAGUCUACGGGAAUAGAGCCGUGCUUUGGGUCAGCGCUCACUCCAAAGCUUGCUGGAAUCAUCUGAGGCUAUCAGUGUCUACAGCACAUCGAGCUGCCCUUAUGGAGCCUGGGACCAGCCCCAGGAAGCCAAUCUCAGCUCAGGAGCCAGGAUUUUAGUGCAAAGCUGCGCCCCCUUCUGUAAACCACGGUUCUCCUGAGAAACAGCUCAUGCCUUUGCCUGGGAACAGAUGGUUCCGCAGCAGCCAGCCCCAGCCUGAAAUGAGUUCCGGAGGCACUGCUGCCUGUCUCCACCAGCAAGAGGGAGGAGAGGCCCUUCCCGUGCCUGCAGCAGUCCAGGGUAGAUGCAAGCAGAAAGACUGGUGAAGACUGGAGCUCCUGGGCAGAAGCACUGACAGGCACGUGGGGUCCUGUAUGAAGAGCUGCACUUUGUGUGAAAGGAAAGGUGGCCCGAGGUCUGGCUCUACUUCAGCCGGAGCAGUGGCUGGUGGUCUUGCCGGGUGGGCCAGUCUUGGGAGGGGGCGAUGGGGAAGUUGGUGAAACAGAGGCACUGGGUCAGCAACUGUGUGAUGGGAUUCUCAGAAACGGCCCAGAUUACAAGAGAAUGCUUGACCCGAGUGACAGUUUACCAAAGCCCUCCCCCUCAAAAGAGGCUUUUAACAGUCAGGUGACACCUGUGGGUGUCACCAUCUUCCCUUUCUCUAUUAUUAGGACCUGGACAAAAUUCAAGAAGAUGUCCCAACCACAAGUAGCCUUACCUUUGAUACUUCCAAUUGCAAUGAGACUUAAAUUUUAGAAUAAGAGAUACAGGCUGGGCGCGGUGGCUCACGUCUGUAAUCCCAGCAAUUUGGUAGGCCAAGGCCGGUGGAUCACCUGAGGUCAGGAGUUUGAGACCAGCCUGGCUAACAUGGCAAAACCCCGUGUCUAGUAAAAAUACAAAAAUUAGCCGAGCAUGGUAGUGCAUGCCUGUAAUCCCAGCUACUCAGGAGGUGGAAGCAGGAGAAUCGCUUGAGCUCGGGAGGCGGAGGUUGCAGUGAGCCGAGAUUGCACCACUGCACUCCAGCCUGGGUGACAGAGCAAGACUUUCUCAAAAAAAUAAAAAUAAUAAUAAUAAUAAAAAGAGGAUACAGACCAUUUACAGGGUUUUUCCUGGUCCAUUAUCCUGCUCUAAUAAUGCCAAUCAACAUGUGAUCAUUAUUCCCUGGGGACAGAACUGGUCACCACUAGUUUGUGACUCUACCUCAUUUGAGGUGGCAUCCAGGGUGACAUCCCAGACUUCCUUACCUUACUUGAAGCACGAUGAGCCUUAAUUUUCGAAUAGAAAUGUUGACCAGCAAGCCAGCUUUUUUUUUUUUUUUCCAGGACAAGGAUAAAUUCCCUUAAGAAUUUUGCAAACAUCACGUGUUUUCUUUCCCCUUGUUGCAAUAUAUGUAAUUUAUCUCCUGGUGUAACUUGCUUAAUAGUUACCGUUUGUUAAUUCCAUCUGCUUCCCAAGAGGAGAACAUACUGUUACGUGGUGAUGUCCUGGGUUCUGUGAGUCUCCCAUAAGCCGCAGCUGGUCAAGAAACGAAUCAGUGG